GACGAACGCUGGCGGCGUGCUUAACACAUGCAAGUCGAACGAAGUGGCGAACGGGUGAGUAACGCGUAAUCAACCUGCCCUUCAGAGGGGGACAACAGUUGGAAACGACUGCUAAUACCGCAUACUGAAGGAGGGGAUUGCGGCUGAUUAGCUAGUUGGAGGGGUAACGGCACACCAAGGCGAUGAUCAGUAGGCGGGUUGGGGGGAUGAACGGGCACAUUGGGACUGGGGCACGGCCCAGACUCCUACGGGAGGCAGCAGUGGGGGAACUUCCGAAAUGGAGGAAAGUCUGACGAAGCAACGCCGCGUGAGUGAUGACGGCCUUCGGGUUGUAAAGCUCUGUUAAUCGGGACGCGGUACCGGAAGAGAAAGCCACGGCUAACUCCGUGCCAGCAGCCGCGGUAAUUC
rnacentral:rRNA from 1 species